rnacentral:rRNA from 1 species
UACAGAGGUCUCAAGCGUUGUUCGGAUUCAUUGGGCGUAAAGGGUGCGUAGGCGGCGCGGUAAGUCGGGUGUGAAAUCUCGGAGCUUAACUCCGAAACUGCAUUCGAUACUGCCGUGCUUGAGGACUGGAGAGGAGACUGGAAUUUACGGUGUAGCGGUGAAAUGCGUAGAUAUCGUAAGGAAGACCAGUGGCGAAGGCGACUACCUGGCCUGUUCUUGACGCUGAGGCGCGAAAGCUGGGGGAGCAAACGGG